rnacentral:rRNA from 1 species
UACGUAGGGUGCAAGCGUUGUCCGGAAUUAUUGGGCGUAAAGAGCUCGUAGGCGGUUUUGUCGCGUCGAAUGUGAAAAAUCCGGGGGCUCAACUCCGGGCCUGCAUUCGAUACGGGCAGACUAGAGUUCGGUAGGGGAGACUGGAAUUCCUGGUGUAGCGGUGAAAUGCGCAGAUAUCAGGAGGAACACCGGUGGCGAAGGCGGGUCUCUGGGCCGAUACUGACGCUGAGGAGCGAAAAGCGUGGGGGAGCGAACAGG